CCGCUCGCCCGAAAGGAGGUCGGGGCGACACGUGUCCGGCAAGCCCUCCGUUCACACGUGCGGCCGGGCUGUGGGGAGGGGUCCGAGGCUGUCCGGAGCCAUGGAGCGCUUCCUGACAGGCUGCAGGGCCGCUCUUCAGGAUCACUCUCAGAGCGGACAGGCUGUCCACGCGGUGAUGGGCAAUGAAGCGUGCGAUCUCGACUCCACGGUGUCCGCCUUGGUCCUCGCCUACUUUUUGGCAAAGACCUCUCCGGACUCCAGGGCAGCCUUCGUCCCUGUCCUCAAUAUCCCCCGGGCCGACUUCCCGCUGCGCACCGAGACCACCUUCCUCCUCCUGCAGCAGCGUAUCCCCGAGAAAGUCCUCGUUUUCCGGGAUGAGAUCGACCUGGCGGGGCUGCACAAGGCCGGGCUGCUGACCUUGACGCUGGUGGACCACCACAUCCUGCCCAGCAAGGACUCUGCGCUGGAGGCGGUCGUGGUGGAGGUGGUGGACCACCGGCCCCUGGAGUGGGAGAGGCCCCCUCCCUGCAAAGUGACGGUCGAGCUGGUGGGCUCCUGCACCACCCUGGUGACCGAGAGGCUCCUCCAGGCACGGGUGCCAACUUUGGACGGCCAAAUUGCCGCCCUGCUCUACGGAACCAUCUUGCUGGAUUGUGUGAACCUGGCCGUCGAAGCCGGCAAGGUGACCCCCAGAGACGCCUGUUGCAUCUCUCGACUGGAGUCCAUGUUCUCUGAGCUGCAGCCGAGGAACCGUGUCUUCGACGCUCUGCAGAGAGCCAAGUUCGAUGUCUCCGGCCUCACCACCGAGCAGAUGCUACGGAAGGACCUCAAAAGCCUGGUCAGCAAAGCAGCCACCGUGGCCCUCAGCGCCCUGUACAUGAGUCUCCAGGAUUUCUUGCACCGGCCUGGCCUCGAACAGGAUCUGGCCACCUUCUGUCACCAAAAAGGCUUCGGCCUCCUGAUCGCCAUGGCCAUCUCCUUCGGGGACCACAAGAAGCCCUUUCGGGAGCUGGCCGUCUAUAGCCCGCAAGCCGCAUUUCAAGAGGCGGUCUGCCAAGCCUUGGAGGGCUCUACCAACCCGUCCCUCGGCCUCUCCCGGCUGGAGACCCCCUGCCCCGCCAUCCGCGCCUACCAGCAGGGCAACAUCGGCGCCUCCCGCAAGAAACUCCUUCCCAUCGUCCAAGAAUUCCUGCACCAGUGGGGCCGAUCCACUCAGACCAGCCCCGGCAUGCAGCCGGAGAUCUCCAGAUGCGUCCCUCCGGCCAGGAUGGAUCCGCAAGGCGCCGGGAGGCGGGAUCCCAGUGGGGCCAAGGACGCCCCUAAGGCUCCCCGCCUGAGCGAGGAGGCAGCCGAGGAAGACACCCUGAUGCCCCCCACCCCCAUGAACAGCCUGGUGGACGAGUGCCCGCUGCACCAGGGCCUCCCCGGAGUCUCGCCCGAGGCCAUCUUUGAGAGAGUCAACCGCAUAGCCACUGACCGGUUGUUGGACGGCCGCAGCCCAGAAAAGAAGAAGUGAGCGCCAAAACCAGGGCAGCGAGGGGAGGGGAGGGUCGUCGCUGGGGGCUUAAAACGCCAGUUUUUGAAUUAACUGGACAUAAUCUGCAAUUAAUCCCCACUGCAAUGGAUAGAAAGGAAAGGGGA